CUAAGUAAACCAGAGCCCCGUGGGCUGGAACGCGCCGGAAUCUGAGGUGACUGGGAGUUUUCAUCCUCUUGAAUAAGAACUCGACAACAGAGUGGGAACUUUCUGUCUUGUGAUCCAUUGCCUGUGUGUUGCACUGGAGCACAGAGGACACUCGAUCGUGCGGCGCGCAGGGCGGGGGGCCGCCGCUGCCUCCCCGCGGGAUGGCUGGCACUGUGCUCGGAGUCGGUGCGGGCGUGUUCAUCUUAGCCCUGCUCUGGGUGGCAGUGCUGCUGCUGUGUGUGCUGCUGUCCAGAGCCUCCGGGGCGGCGAGGUUCUCUGUCAUUUUUUUAUUCUUCGGUGCUGUGAUCAUCACAUCAGUUCUGUUGCUUUUCCCGCGAGCUGGUGAAUUCCCAGCCCCAGAAGUGGAAGUUA
rnacentral:lncRNA from 1 species